GAUGAACGCUGGCGGCGUGCCUAAUACAUGCAAGUCGAGCGAACGGACGAGAAGCUUGCUUCUCUGAUGUUAGCGGCGGACGGGUGAGUAACACGUGGAUAACCUACCUAUAAGACUGGGAUAACUUCGGGAAACCGGAGCUAAUACCGGAUAAUAUUUUGAACCGCAUGGUUCAAAAGUGAAAGACGGUCUUGCUGUCACUUAUAGAUGGAUCCGCGCUGCAUUAGCUAGUUGGUAAGGUAACGGCUUACCAAGGCAACGAUGCAUAGCCGACCUGAGAGGGUGGUAGGCCACACUGGAACUGAGACACGGUCCAGACUCCUACGGGAGGCAGCAGUAGGGAAUCUUCCGCAAUGGGCGAAAGCCUGACGGAGCAACGCCGCGUGAGUGAUGAAGGUCUUCGGAUCGUAAAACUAUGUUAUUAGGGAAGAACAUAUGUGUAAGUAACUGUGCACAUAUUGACGGUACCUAAUCAGAAAGCCACGGCUAACUACGUG
rnacentral:rRNA from 1 species